CUCACUAGUCGAGAGAUCCUGCGCCGAAGAUGUCCGGGGCUAAAACUUACCACCGAAGCUACGGGAUUGCAAUAGCAAUCGGUAGAGGAGCGUCGUAAUCGGGCUGAAGUCGUACCGUAAGGAGCGGUGGACUGAUUACGAGUGAGAAUGUUGGCAUUAGUAGCGAGAUGUAGGUGAGAAUCCUACAGGCCGAAUACCUAAGGUUUCCUCAGGAAGGUUCGUCCUCUGAGGGUUAGUCGGGACCUAAGCCGAGGCCGAAAGGCGUAGGUGAUGGACAAUCGGUUGAUAUUCCGAUACCACUAUAAUCGUUAUUAUCGAUGGCGUGACGGAGAAGGAUAGAGUGUGCUAGCUAUUGGAUGCUAGUCUAAGCGUUUAGGGAGUCAGGAUAGGCAAAUCCGUUCUGAUAAUUCUGAGGCGUAAUGGGGAAGGUUCCAAGGAACCGAAGUACUUGAUUCCAUGCUUCCAAGAAAAGCGUCUAGAAAGAGAAGUAGUGCCCGUACCGUAAACCGACACAGGUAGGUGAGGAGAGAAUCCUAAGGCCGGCGGAAGAAUCACAGUUAAGGAACUAGGCAAAUUGACCCCGUAACUUCGGGAUAAGGGGUGCCUGCGCGAGCAGGUCGCAGAGAAUAGGCCCAAGCAACUGUUUAGCAAAAACACAGGUCUCUGCUAAAGCGAAAGCUGAUGUAUAGGGGCUGACGCCUGCCCGGUGCUGGAAGGUUAAGGGGAACACUUAGCGCAAGCGAAGGUGUGAACUUAAGCCCCAGUAAACGGCGGCCGUAACUAUAACGGUCCUAAGGUAGCGAAAUUCCUUGUCAGGUAAGUUCUGACCCGCACGAAUGGCGUAAUGAUUUGGGCACUGUCUCAACUGUGAAUCCGGCGAAGUUGUAGUGCGAGUGAAGAUGCUCGCUACCCGCGAUUGGACGGAAAGACCCCGUAGAGCUUUACUGUAGCUUAGCAUUGAAUUUCGGUAUUGUCUGUACAGGAUAGGUGGGAGACUGGGAAACCAGAGCGUCAGCUUUGGCGGAGUCACCCUUGGGAUACCACCCUGAUAGUACUGAGGUUCUAACUGGAUGCCAUGAAUCUGGUGACAGGACAUUGUUAGGUGGGCAGUUUGACUGGGGCGGUCGCCUCCGAAAGUGUAACGGAGGCGCCCAAAGGUUCCCUCAGAACGGUCGGAAAUCGUUCGAAGAGUGCAAAGGCAGAAGGGAGCCUGACUGCGACACCCACAAGUGGAGCAGGGACGAAAGUCGGGCUUAGUGAUCCGGUGGUACCUCGUGGGAGGGCCAUCGCUCAACGGAUAAAAGCUACCUCGGGGAUAACAGGCUGAUCUCCCCCAAGAGUCCACAU
rnacentral:rRNA from 1 species